rnacentral:rRNA from 1 species
AAUAGAUACCCCGGUAGUCCACCCCGUAAACGUUGGGAACUAGUUGUGGGGUCCUUUCCACGGAUUCCGUGACGCAGCUAACGCAUUAAGUUCCCCGCCUGGGGAGUACGGCCGCAAGGCUAGAACUCAAAGGAAUUGACGGGGACCCGCACAAGCGGCGGAGCAUGCGGAUUAAUUCGAUGCAACGCGAAGAACCUUACCAAGGCUUGACAUACACCGGAAACGGUCAGAGAUGGUCGCCCCGCAAGGUCGGUGUACAGGUAGUGCAUGGUUGUCGUCAGCUCGUGUCGUGAGAUGUUGGGUUAAGUCCCGCAACGAGCGCAACCCUCGUUCUAUGUUGCCAGCACGUAAUGGUGGGAACUCAUGGGAUACUGCCGGGGUCAACUCGGAGAAGGUGGGGAUGACGUCAAAUCAUCAUGCCCCUUAUGUCUUGGGCUUCACGCAUGCUACAAUGGCCGGUACAAAGGGCUGCAAUACCGUGAGGUGGAGCGAAUCCCAAAAAGCCGGUCCAGUUCGGAUUGAGGUCUGCAACUCGACCUCA